GGCUUGAUGGUCUAGUGGUAGGAUCCAUGCUUUGGAUGUUCAUUCAAACAUGCAUGUGGCCUGGGUUCGAUUCCCAGUCGAGCCC
rnacentral:tRNA from 1 species